UUUUACUGUGGCGGAAGUGUCGUGUGGCAUUGAGAAGAGAUGCUCCAGCAUCUACAGAGUGCUUGGGGUGAAUUUGACCAUAAAAACAGGAGUUCAGAUCAGUCAGGUCAUGAUGACAAUCCCGGACAGAAGGAUUAAGAAGAGGAGGAGAUGUAGAAGGAGAAGACCGAUGAGGAGGGAGAAAAAGAGAAGAGGGACAGUUCGUUUCCAGACCCUUGUUCUGAGACCUGUCCUGCACCUUCCUCCCAACUACCUGGAUCACCUAUCUGUUAUCGACCGUUAUCGACCUUCGCCUGGACUGACUCCCCGCUCUGUUGACCGACCCUGCCUGACCCUCUGACCAUUCUUGCCUCCCGGACUUCGUACCACUGCUACCCACUAUCCACACUCCAACAAUACACUCAUACCAGUCUACGUUUUUCUUACGUAUCUCCACUGUCAUCUCAAACUACUACAAUAAACAUCAUCAUUGUCCUUUUUUACCCCUGUUGUCUAUAUCUGCUUUUGGAUCCUUACCUCUGUCCUGAGUCCCAGGAGUCGUGACAGUACUAAAGGUCCA